rnacentral:rRNA from 1 species
UACGUAGGGUGCAAGCGUUGUCCGGAAUUAUUGGGCGUAAAGAGCUCGUAGGCGGUUUGUCGCGUCUGCUGUGAAAACUCGGGGCUCAACUCCGAGCUUGCAGUGGGUACGGGCAGACUAGAGUGCGGUAGGGGAGACUGGAAUUCCUGGUGUAGCGGUGGAAUGCGCAGAUAUCAGGAGGAACACCGGUGGCGAAGGCGGGUCUCUGGGACGGUACUGACGCUGAGACGCGAAAGCGUGGGGAGCGAACAGG